AUACGUAGGGUGCAAGCGUUAAUCGGAAUUACUGGGCGUAAAGCGUGCGCAGGCGGUUUUGUAAGACAGUGGUGAAAACCCCGGGCUCAACCGGGGAACCGCCAUUGUGACUGCAAGGCUGGAGGGCGGCAGAGGGGGAUGGAAUUUCCCGUGUAGCAGUGAAAUGCGUAGAUAUGCGGAGGAACACCGAUGGCGAAGGCAAUCCCCUGGGCCUGCACUGACGCUCAUGCACGAAAGCGUGGGGAGCAAACAGGAUUAGAUACCCUGGUAGUCCACGCCCUAAACGAUGUCAACUGGUUGUUGGGGAUUUAUUUUCUCAGUAACGAAGCUAACGCGUGAAGUUGACCGCCUGGGGAGUACGGCCGCAAGGUUAAAACUCAAAUGAAUUGACGGGG
rnacentral:rRNA from 1 species